rnacentral:rRNA from 1 species
CAGUAGCGUAUAUUAAUGUUGUUGCUGUUAAAAAGCUCGUAGUUGGAUGUUUGAGUGUGGUGUGUGUGCGUUCUUUGUUUGUCGGUGGUGUAAACCACUGGCGGAGAUUGUGACGCUACUUUCGCACGCCCGCCAUGUUUGUGUUUUUGUGCGUUUCGCAAGAGACGCGCGGAGGCACUCCCUUACUGUGAAAAAAUUAGAGUGCUCCAAGCAGGCAAAGAUAGCCAGAAUAGUCCAGCAUGGAAUGACAACGUGGACUGAUGUUUUUUUUUCUCUCUUCUUCGGAGGAGGGGAAAAAGAACCGCGCGUUGCUUUUUGGGACGCACACUACGUGCGUCUCGCGUCAUCAGUAAUUCUUGAUAGGAAAGCGCGGGGGUGCUUGUAUGUCGCGGCCAGAGGUGAAAUUCUUGGAUUCGCGACCGACAAACUUGUGCGAAAGCGUUCACCAAGUGUUUGUCCUUUGA